UGUUUGCAUCAUCAGAGGAAUAUAUUUAAUUAAUGGCUGUUUUAAUCCUUCCGCCGAAUCGCUGUUGUUGCCCUCUCGCUGCUCUAUUUGAUCCCCGUGCAAACACUCGGCACUUUGAUGUGAGAGGACAGACCUGAAGUGGAUUUCAGCCUUAUUGCAUGGUUUCACUGACAGAUUGAAGCUUAGCGCACGCAGCCAAAACUGUGGUUGCUCAUCGAGUAGAUGGAUUAUUAACUUAAUAUUCGAGUUUAUAUGCGGCUUGUGUCUCUUGGAGCCUGCGCUUCUGAUAUGAAUUAAGGAAUUCCGCUAAGCAGUGCAUUUUGUUUGGCUAAAGCAGCAACGUGCCCUCAGAAACUGCCACGAGGUAUAAACGAUCACUGGCUGAUUCAGAGAGAAGCGUCAUCCACUGACACUAAAGGCCACAAGCAACAGGAAGUGAUUGCACCUUUCAGACACCUGGAAACCAAUGAACAGCCACAACCUAUGGGAGAGAACUCUUCUACAGCCAAUCACAGUCCAUCUGGGAGCGACUGCAAUCACUCAGAUAAUUACAGUAUAUCUAAAUUAUAAAUUCAGAGAGAUUGCCAACACACUGCAAUCAGUUUGAGUCGGUCUGUGCAAUGGCAGCUCAUCUCUUUGCAAUAGGAAACUCGGUUCAACUGGUUGCCAACUGGUUGUUUUCUGUUUUACUCCCAUAGGAAAGCAAGGUUACCAAGACUGCUGUUUAAGCUCAUUCGUGCAUCAACUACGCUGUUAUUUGUGGAGGAAUUUCUGAAUUUCUGUUGCAAGUCUGCAAGUUUCUGGUUGGACACUGAAGUAGUUAAUGUGAAUUUCUGCUUAAUGGGAUUAUCUAUGUAUGUAGACAUCAGAUUUUCAAUUCUGAAUGAUGUAUUAAGAGUAAAACUGCUGUAUUAUCACAAACAGAUUGCAUGCUAUUAUCAACUUGACCCCAUUCAAACACAAACUGAUCGCAGACUCCAUCUUUUAUCAUCUUCCUGAUGCAUCCAAGUUACUUUGAGGAGGACAACUGAGUGAUCACAGACCUGGUCCCUGUCUUUGAAGCAAUCAUUUCAAAUGCAACGAGACUACAAGUCCAUUGUUUCCCUAGUGCUUAAUAUCCAAUCUGCCCACAUUGGAUCUUUGGGUUCUCGAGUUGUUCCAAUUUCAGGGAUGAAAAAAUGACUAUGUUUUGUAAAAUCCACUCUUUGUCCUUUGUGACAUACAAAGUUAUAGAAUUAGUGACACAGAGCUACAAUCAUUAUUCUCAAACGGGCGAGUUGCUGUUCUGAAAGGGUGUAUUUUAACUCACCCUAUGAUCUUUUACUAGAGUGAACCAGUGCGUGAUCUCCUGGUUUAUAAAACUGCCAGUUUUGCCACAGGUCUCUAGAGCGCGACCUUUAUCUGAAAUAUUCAAGACACCAAAGACAAAAGAUGGUUUGAGCCAGUGGCAUUACCCAGAGGAUAUGGUUCUAAUUGUAAAGUUACUCUGGGACAAAUUAAGUUAAAGAUGUGAAAAGUGCAUGAAAACAGCGCUGUAGGUCAGAACAAAUAAAAACAUAAGAGGUACGGAUCGGAGUAGAAGCACUUUACAGGAAGUGAAAGUUUGAAGGAAAAGUUUCCAGCUUUUUGCUGCAUCUUUUUUUAAAUAUAUAUUUUUUUGUUUUUUCACGUCCUUUGAUCAAUAAGCAGAAGACAGAGAAGUAAAGCUUUCUCAUCCCUCUGUACUCGUUCCUGUGCUCCGUCUGCCUGUGGCUGAAGGAGAGAUGAAUCAGUGAACAGAGGGAGGUUCCACCGCUCGCUCUCGCUCUCUGAAGCCAACAGCAUUGCUGUGAUCACUGUUAAUCUCCUUUGCCACUCUGCUGCCAUCUCCUCAAAUACAUUCAUCUCAUUUCCAAUAGCGUUCGCAGCCUCUUCUUCCUUUCUAAUUAGGCACCGUCAAGAUUUCAGAAGUCACCCUUUGGUGUUCUGCAGUAAGCGAGAUGGCUCUUUGAGCGAGGGGGUCAGCCAUGGCAAGUAUUUGUUUGAGGGUUAAAUCACAGCAGGCCUUUCAUCAUGUUGUUAUGUUGCACGAUCAGAGGCUUGGGAUUAUGUAGGUCAGACGUUGGAGAGUGAGAGCACCCCUUUUGUAGCUGCCAUUUUUAUUCAGUUGCUAGGCAGCACCCGCUCUAAUCUCUUGUACCAAAGAGUCUCUCCCCAGAGAAAAAGAGAGGGAGCAGGAGUUACAAAGGACGGGAAAAAAUGUGAAAAAAGCAUCAACAAAGAACACAAACCCAUGCAAGGACUGCUUUUAGAAACACUCUAAAGGGAGGGAGUGGAAAUGGACAGGAUGUGGGAGUCUAAGCUCGGCCCUGAAACCUGCUAUGGCCCUCCUGAACAUCUUUAAACCCCUGUGGACUGUUUGUGCCAUUGACUCGCUAACUAAAGGAUCAACAACAGCGGGCUACAUUCAGCAUUUGAAUCCGUGGCACUCUUGCUUAACGCCGGGAAGCGAAAACUUAACAGCCUUCAGUUCUCAAGUCUAGCUUUUCAAAACAAGUGGAACAGCUCCAGUGGGUCAGUCAAAGCAGGACAGUUGAUGAAAGUCACAAUGUUGACACAGAUUUUCUGUCAGCGAGUGCCAAAAUGGAUCAGAACCGCUCAGAUGUGGAGCUCGGUCGUCUGGCAAAGUGUGUCUGCUGUCGCGCUGCUGCUGCUGCUGCUGCUGCUGCACCCCCAUCCUAAAUGUGCUCAUGUCACGCUCCGCCAUCAAAGGCUCACCCCUCGGCUCUGUGUUCUGAGAAAAGGAGGCACACCACCCCCCACCCCCACCCACUGAUCCUCCCCUCCCACCCCAGCCCCGGGCUCAGUAAGGAUCUGCUAUUCUCCGUUGCAUUUCACACGCUUUGAUUUGGAGUUUUGAAGUUUGUUCUUGUCUGCCUUUUUUCCUCUCUAUUUUUUUUUUUUGACUUAGUUCUGUUUCAUAUUGACUGUUUUGAUUCAUGAAGUUUUCAGAUGAUGAAUGCUCUGAAAAACUGGCACUGCAGCACUGAUGGCUCUAAUGCUGUCUGUAAUCACAUACGCCUGCUCUCAGUCAGUGAGCCUUUGCAAUGACAAAGAAGGCCAAUAAACUGUAUGCAAGACAAUGAGUUAGUCUGAUCUCAAACAUUUACAUCCUUGCAGGGAGUGAGAUGAGAGGACUGAUAGGCUACCUCUACAGAUUUAGCAUAAAGUCUGAAAAGUUACUUAUUUGCAAAGUUGCAAGUCUGCUGUUUUUGUUGAAUAUUUUCUACAUUUUCAUUCUACAGUGUAUUGACUCUCUUGGCAGAACUGAGAUGAGCACUAGUACCAUCGUCAUAUCUGUAUUCAAACAAUAAGCUGUUAGCUAGUAGCUUAGCAAAAGUCCUUGAGGCGCCCCUCAUUUCUCUAGAUUUUGCCAGGAAAAUGGGAAAUGGGUCCAGAGAUUUAUUCAAAUGUGCAAAUACACAAAGAAAUACAAUAUGUAUAAAUAUGUUCAUCAUAAUCUUAACUAAGUGCAAGUUCUUGUAAUUUCUUUAAAUAUUACAAGAAUGCAUUGUCAUGCUUAAAAAUAAAGCUGCUACCAAUCAGACACUU